UUCUAGCAUAUAUUAAAAUUGCUGCAGUUAAAACGCUCGUAGUUUUAUUUAUUAGAGUGGAAGUCUUGGGUUUAUGAUUUAGUUUAUUUACGCAGGAUUUGCGCUCUAUUAAGAUUAUAAGGAUAGUUUUUAAUUAGACUAUCUUUUAGUUAACCUUGAACAAAAAUUAUCGCUCAAAGAAAGACUUCGGUUUGGUGAGAUUUUAGCAUGGGAUUAUAGAAGAAGGGGAGCCGGGCCCUGGGAGAAGGAGACUUUUCUCAGGGUACGGUUCUCAAUGGUUAAUGAGGAAGAUGCGUGGAAGUUUAUAUUUAAAAGCUAGAGGUGAAAUUCUUGGAUUUUUUAACGAUAAACAUCAGCGAAGGCAUUCUUCAAGUGCUUACCUAUCGACAAAGAACGAAAGUUGGGGGAUCGAAGAUGAUCAGAUACCAU
rnacentral:rRNA from 1 species